rnacentral:rRNA from 1 species
GAAGUGCGAAUGCUGACAUGAGUAGCGUUAAAGGGGGUGAAAAGCCCCCUCGCCGAAAGCGCAAGGUUUCCUACGCAACGUUCAUCGGCGUAGGGUGAGUCGGCCCCUAAGGCGAGGCAGAGAUGCGUAGUUGAUGGGAAACGGGUUAAUAUUCCCGUACCGAUUGCAAGUGCGAUGUGGGGACGAAUUUUUGCAGUUUGACCACUUAUUGGAUUGUGGUUUCUGACCUGUAGGCGUCUGGUAGGCAAAUCCGCCAGACAUAUACCGAGGGGUUGGAUGUAAGCGAAUUUAUUCGCCGAACCAAAUGAAUGAAGUUCCAGGAAAAGCCACUAAGCUUCAGCUUGCAACGACCGUACCGCAAACCGACACUGGUGCGCGAGAUGAGUAUUCUAAGGCGCUUGAGAGAACUCUGGAGAAGGAACUCGGCAAAUUGACACCGUAACUUCGGAAGAAGGUGUGCCUUUAGUAUGUGAACUGAACAAGGGAGCAGAACGAGGUCUCAGAGAAUCGGUGGCUGCGACUGUUUAUUAAAAACACAGCACUCUGCAAACACGAAAGUGGACGUAUAGGGUGUGACGCCUGCCCGGUGCCGGAAGGUUAAUUGAUGGGGUUAGCGCAAGCGAAGCUCUUGAUCGAAGCCCCGGUAAACGGCGGCCGUAACAAUAACGGUCCUAAGGUAGCGAAAUUCCUUGUCGGGUAAGUUCCGACCUGCACGAAUGGCGUAACGAUGGCCACACUGUCUCCUCCUGAGACUCAGCGAAGUUGAAAUGUUUGUGAUGAUGCAAUCUCCCCGCGGAAAGACGGAAAGACCCCAUGAACCUUUACUGUAGCUUUGUAUUGGAUUUUGAACGGAUCUGUGUAGGAUAGGUGGGAGGCUUUGAAGCUGGGACGCUAGUUCUAGUGGAGCCAACGUUGAAAUACCACCCUGGUGCGUUUGAGGUUCUAACCUAGGUCCAUUAUCUGGAUCGGGGACAGUGCAUGGUAGGCAGUUUGACUGGGGCGGUCUCCUCCCAAAGCGUAACGGAGGAGUUCGAAGGUACGCUAGUUACGGUCGGACAUCGUGACGAUAGUGCAAUGGCAUAAGCGUGCUUAACUGCGAGACUGACAAGUCGAGCAGAUGCGAAAGCAGGACAUAGUGAUCCGGUGGUUCUGUAUGGAAGGGCCAUCGCUCAACGGAUAAAAGGUACUCUGGGGAUAACAGGCUGAUACCGCCCAAGAGUUCAUAUCGACGGCGGUGUUUGGCACCUCGAUGUCGGCUCAUCUCAUCCUGGGGCUGUAGCCGGUCCCAAGGGUAUGGCUGUUCGCCAUUUAAAGAGGUACGUGAGCUGGGUUUAAAACGUCGUGAGACAGUUUGGUCCCUAUCUUCCGUGGGCGCUGCAGAUUUGAGGAAGCCUGCUCCUAGUACGAGAGGACCGGAGUGGACGAACCUCUGGUGUUCCGGUUGUCACGCCAGUGGCAUUGCCGGGUAGCUAUGUUCGGAAAAGAUAACCGCUGAAAGCAUCUAAGCGGGAAACUUGCCUCAAGAUGAGAUCUCACUGGAACCUUGAGUUCCCUAAAGGGCCGUCGAAGACUACGACGUUGAUAGGUUGGGUGUGUAAGCGCUGUGAGGCGUUGAGCUAACCAAUACUAAUGGCCCGACUCUGCGUUGAU